UUUCAGUAGUAUUAUUCCCCAUAUUUCAUAAUCCGUAGCUAACACAACAGCAACUUAAAGACAGAAGUGUGUAGCCUUUACGACUAAAUAUGUUUAACCCCAUAUACAGUAGUGACCAAAUUACUAAGCUGGAAAAAAAAAACAAACACAUUUGUUACUAUUACUUUCCAUUUGCACAGUGCUUUUCAUCCUAGACUUUUACAGACUCAUUUUUGUAAAGGACUUUAUUAUCCUUAUUUUACAGCCAAGGAAACUGAGACACAAAGACUUUCAUCACUAAACCCUACUGACUUCACUAGGUCAUUUAGUGGGAAAAGAGACAACAGCACAUUUAGCUCCGACUCAGUACAACUAUUUACUGGCACGAAAGACUCUCUCUUAUCUCAGGAUUUCUGGGAUCUCUUAUAUCAUUAUGGGCAAGUCACUUAGUCUUUUUGGGACUCGGUUUCCCCAGCUGUAAAAUGGAGUUCAGACUACUGGUCUCUCAGAGAGCUGUUAUGAGAAAUACUUCAUGUUUGUAAAUCAUUUUGACUUCCUCUGAUGGAAGGCACUCUCUGGAAGUAGCAAGUUAUUAAUGUUAAGUGAAAAAAGUCACUGAUUUUUCUGUUGCACAAUUCAACACAAGGCUCUAAACAGCUUUUCAAUUUCAUGCAGAGUACAUUUCCAGUUUAGUACAUAGGAACCAUGCCCUGAGUAAUAGCUGCUGUGGACAACUCUGAUGGGCAGAGUGGACUAACUGCACCUUAGCAUCAAAGAAUCAAGAUGAGAAAAAAAAAAGGCCUGCCUUUCAUUCUCAGCGUCAGAAGGACCAGCUCUUAGUGGAAACCUCAGAUAAUAUCAAAAUGUUACUGUAGUAAGUGAAUGCUGACAAUAAGUAGGCUCAACUAUCUCUUCAGUAAGAAGCCAAAGGCCUAUUAUGUUUAAUUGCUUCCUCUGCAGCUAGCAUGAUAAUAGUACAACACUGAUGAAGGUGGCUGCAUGAAGGUGGCUGCAAGAUAAAAGUUAUACAGCAUGGUUAACAUUCUCAGCUGGACAACUUUCUGUGAAAGGGGAGCCAAUUACAGCUACUUCAUAGUGGAGCCAGGUCUACGCUAGACUUGGGGCUUUACUAAUGUGUGUUAGUUAGCCAUGAGCUCCAAGGGUGUGGGAGUGCAGCAUACCCCUUCCCUGAUAUAUCACUUAUGUUGCAGGCUACAGGAGAGUGGUGUGUAGGAGUCAGAUACACCACUUCUGCACCCUCCGAUAACUACCCCACUUCAAAGGAUCCCCCCAGCAUGGAGACUCAUCUGCUUUCUGUUCCAAGUGAAGCGGAACACAACUCAGGACUGAGUCCUAUGCCGUCUCACAACGGAGAAUACAGAAUCAUAGCCAUCCUCUCGGAUCAUUUUUGACACUUUAAUAAGAUCAUCAGGAUGUAAACAGGGAGAUGUUGCCUGAAUAUGUCCUAUAAUAUCAACCUCUAAAGAAUGAAAAAGUAAAAUAUAUAAUGAGAAACUUUGUAUGAAAUAUUUAAUAAAUAUAAAUAAUAAGAUA